UUGCAACGGAUAAUCCGUUGCAAAUUAAAUUAAAAUUGCAACGGAUUUUCUGUUGCAA
rnacentral:sRNA from 1 species